CCUACGGGAGGCAGCAGUGAGGAAUAUUGGUCAAUGGCCGCAGGGCUGAACCAGCCAAGUCGCGUGAGGGAUGACGGUCCUAUGGAUUGUAAACCUCUUUUGUCAGGGAGCAAAGGGCGCCACGUGUGGCGUUUUGCGAGUACCUGAAGAAAAAGCAUCGGCUAACUCCGUGCCAGCAGCCGCGGUAAUACGGAGGAUGCGAGCGUUAUCCGGAUUUAUUGGGUUUAAAGGGUGCGCAGGCGGAGGUGCAAGUCAGUGGUCAAAUUGCGGGGCUCAACCCCGUACUGCCGUUGAAACUGCAUCCC
rnacentral:rRNA from 1 species